AGGAUGAACGCUAGCGGCAGGCCUAAUACAUGCAAGUCGAGGGGUAACAGGAGAGCUUGCUCUUGCUGACGACCGGCGCACGGGUGCGUAACGCGUAUGCAAUCUACCCACAACUGGGGAAUAGCCCGAAGAAAUUCGGAUUAAUACCCCAUAAUGCAGGGGUACCACCUGGUACUAUCUGCUAAAGAUUUAUCGGUUGUGGAUGAGCAUGCGUCUGAUUAGUUAGUUGGUGAGGUAACGGCUCACCAAGACUAAGAUCAGUAGGGGGUCUGAGAGGAUGAUCCCCCACACUGGCACUGAGAUACGGGCCAGACUCCUACGGGAGGCAGCAGUAGGGAAUAUUGGGCAAUGGAGGCAACUCUGACCCAGCCAUGCCGCGUGAAGGAUGAAGGCCUUCUGGGUUGUAAACUUCUUUUAUACAGGAAGAAAAAGGUCAUGCGUGACCAAUUGACGGUACUGUAUGAAUAAGCACCGGCUAACUCCGUGCCAGCAGCCGCGGUAAUACGGAGGGUGCAAGCGUUGUCCGGAUUUAUUGGGUUUAAAGGGUGCGUAGGCGGUACGCUCAGUCAGUGGUGAAAUCCCGCAGCUUAACUGCGGAACUGCCAUUGAUACUGGCGUACUUGAGUACAGACGAGGUAGGCGGAAUUUAUGGUGUAGCGGUGAAAUGCAUAGAUACCAUAAAGAACACCGAUAGCGAAGGCAGCUUACUAGACUGUAACUGACGCUCAGGCACGAAAGCGUGGGGAGCGAACAGGAUUUGAUACCCUGGUAGUCCACGCCGUAAACGAUGAUCACUCGAUGUGUGCGAUAAACAGUACGCGUCCAAGCGAAAGCGUUAAGUGAUCCACCUGGGGAGUACGUUCGCAAGAAUG
rnacentral:rRNA from 1 species